ACGAUGAAGAACGCAGCGAAGUGCGAUAAGCAAUGCGAAUUGCAGAGCCGAGAGUCAUCAGAUUUUUGAACGCAACUGGCUCCUGAGGGUAUCCCCUCAGGAAUGCUUCUAUCAGUGUGUUAUUAUCUCCUCACCCAAACCUUAAUGCGAUAGAUGCCCUUCUAUUGCUAAACCCGAAAGCACUCUGAUCCCUGCAGCUGAAGUCUUCGGACCGAGGCACUCGAUGCAGUAGUCACAUUCUCAAGUGUGAACUCAUCGAGAGUAGAGUCAGCGCAUGUUUACAUGCCAGUGCUUAGACACUCAAAUUUUACCACCACCUGAUGUGAAGUAGUACCACCCGCUGAACUUAAGCAUAUCAUUAAGCGGAGGAAAAGAAACUAACAAGGAUUCCCUCAGUACGGGCGACGGAAGCGGGAAAAGCCCACAGUGGUAAUCUCCGUGCGGGAGCGCGGCGAAUUGUAAUCUGAAGGCAGCCGGUCUAUGCCGUGCCCCAGACGCAGAAGUGCCGCCGAGGCGGCCGCCAAAGAGGGUGAGAGCCCCGUCUGCGGUGUCUGGGAGCGGUUAGGGCCAGUCGCCAAAGAGUCGCGUACUUUGAUACUAGUGCGCAAAGCGGGAGAUAAACUUCUUCUAAGGCUAAAUAAACGUAGGAGACCGAUAGCGAACAAGUACUGUGAAGGAAAGAUGAAAAGCACUCUGGAGAGAGCGUCAAAAGACUUGAAAUCGUUGAGGCGGACCCGGUAGAAAUGAAUUCUGGGGGCGGACCCUGGGAAGCCUGCGACAGCGGGCCACUUGGGUGCGUCAGCGAGGCAAGAUGGAGUCGCCGGAUGCCAGAGGCGGUGCGUGAAGGGGCUUGCUCCGGCGCGUGUUGGCCAGGUGUGCGGCGGCUUGAGGGGCCUUGUGCGAUCUUGCCAAAAUGGUUUUUACCGACUCGUCUUGAAACACGAACCAAGGAGUCUAAGACUAACGCGAGUGUGGUGGUGGAAAAACCAACACGCGAAAUGAAAGUAAAUGAUGCCAAGCGUGCGCAGCAUCGACCGACUUUUAUCUUUAGGUAGAGGUUUGAGUAAGAGCGUUAUUCUUAGGACCCGAAAGAUGGUGAACUAUGCCUGAGUAGGGUGAAGUCAGGGGAAACUCUGAUGGAAGCUCGAAGCGAUACUGACGUGCAAAUCGUUCGUCGAACUUGGGUAUAGGGGCGAAAGACUAAUCGAACCAUCUAGUAGCUGGUUCCCUCCGAAGUUUCCCUCAGGAUAGCUGGGACAAGUACGCAGUUUUAUUAGGUAAAGCGAAUGAUUAGAGGCAUCGGGGAUAAUAUGUCCUUGACCUAUUCUCAAACUUUAAAUUGGUAAGAACUCCCGUCUUUGCUUGGAUGAAGCGGGAGGUUCAAUGCGUGUCCUUAGUGGGCCAUUUUUGGUAAGCAGAACUGGCGAUGAGGGUUGCUCCUAACGUUGGGUUAAGGUGCCAAACUACACGCUCAUCAGAAACUAUAAAGGGUGUUAGUUCAUCCAGACAGCAGGACGGUGGCCAUGGAAGUCGGAAUCCGCUAAGGAGUGUGUUACAACUCACCUGCCGAACGGACUAGUCCCGAAAAUGGAUGGCGCUAAAGCGUGUGACCGAUACCCAACCAUUGGCGCGAGAGUGAGGCGCCAAUGAGUAGGAGGGCGUGUGCGUCGUGGUGAAGCCUCUGGCGUGAGCCUGGGUUGAACGGCGUAUAGUGCAGAUCUUGGUGGUAGUA
rnacentral:rRNA from 1 species